CUGUGACCGAUGGUAUCCUCAAUAUCUGUCAGUCACUACUCAAAGCUCGUCACUUUAGGUGAAAGUGCAAACGUAGACCGACCUAUAAAUCAGUACCUUUGCCUUUUGGCUCCACACUCUCUUCACCAUGACAGACUGGCAAAGAGCUCACGUCACGACGGAAGCUGCAGCACAACCAUUGAUCACCUGCUCCAUUUUUCUCUUAUUCAUUACUAAGAUCCCAACAAGAUCCCAAGAUACUACAACACUUGGGGCAGGACCUUUUUGCGGCCCAAGCUCACGGUCUCAGAUUUGGAGGAUUUUCAUCUUGGUCGCUAUGGACUCGACUACAGAAUGCUCCAGUGAAACCUGGAGACUGUAAUUUUAUGAAGCCAACAGAACCACAUCAUCUGUGAAAAGGAGAAACCUGAUAGUGAGGCCACCAAAAUGGAACCCUUCAACAACUUGGCUGAAAUUCUGCGUCUUAAGAUUUUGAGAAACUCUGAACAAAAUCGAUGACAAAGUGCAACCUUGGUGGAGUCUAACUCAGUGUUGACUAGUGUUUAACACCAGUUGUACAGCAACCUAACAGCCCUUAUCAAGGGGCCUUGUACUCUAGACUCCUAAAGUACCCACCACAGGACACGGUCAAACUCCGUCCCCAAGUCCACAAAGUACAUGUAGACCGGUUAGGCGGACUCCCAGGUACCGUCAAGGACGUUGUGGCGGGUGUAGAGUUGGCCCAGUGUUUCACAACCAGGAUGGAAACCACAGUGUGGUUCCUGAGGCCAAGACUUGACUGUCCGGCUGAGUUUUCGUCUUCAGAAUCCCUGGACAGACCUUACCUGGGACGCUUCGGUGUGGAAUUGCACUGUAGUUGGAAUACACCUUACACUCACAAUGAAACAAACACAUUAACAUUUAAAAUUUGCCCAUCAUAAUUCUCAUAUAAAUUUGUAUUUUUUUAAAAGCUAUUUUUUUAAGGUGCAUUCAAAUGAGAAAUAAGCCAUAUCCUCACUCACAUGUUAUUGCAAACAACAAAUAAAAAUGAUGGCAGCUUGUUUUCUGCAGAUUUUGUCCUAUCAUUUUAAGCUGUCAGUUCUAAGAAGCGUUGUUAUGACAACACACCGGAGCUGUCCAUGGACUCCAACCCCUGGCAGGCCGCCGUGUCCGUCACAGACUCUGUGACUGCCGCCGCUUCCUGUCUCACUCUGACUGCUCAGCCCGGUUUCUGGAAAGGCCGUCCAAAUGCGGGAAGUGCACAACUACACGGAAUUCCCAGAUGACCCCUUUGUUUCCCAGCCGAUGCGACCCCCUUAGCCUCGGCUUGGACCGCUUCCAAACAUCCGAGUGCGACUUUCCUUCGUCCCUCUCCUCCGCCGCCUCUUCAUUUUGACACCGUGUUUCAAACUCUGAGGUGGCAUCGUUCAAAUUCAAAGUACAGAACAGCCCAAACCUCGGGGCGUUUAUGCGCUUCUUGCUUCUUCAUC